GCUUCUUCAACAACAACAGCUAGUCAGACACCUCGGUAGCGUUCGAGCAAACAUAGCUACAACAUUCACGCUCUUUACAAUGUUUUGGUGUAUAUUAGUCGCUGUGUAUUAAACACACUUCUGUCGUAUGUACUUGUUGGCCCAUUUAAUUAUAUAUUUACGUUGUUUGUCAGCUAGCUGGUUUGCUAAGUUAGCUUAGAACUAGGCUAGUCACUAAUGCUAGCUAGCUAACAUCUCCGACCAUGAGUUCACUAAGCUACUCUCCUCCUGCUAAAGAAGAGGUGGUCUGCUGGACGGAGAAAGAAGCUUUCGUGAAAGAGGAGCACGAAGAGAAGGCUGUUACAAUACAAAAACAAGUAGAUGGUGAGGCUGUUACCGUGAAAGAAGAAGAGAAAGACGUUACAGUGAAAGAAGAGGAAGAUGCGUUCAGAGUGAAAGAGGAGGAGGAUGUUACAGUAAAAGAAGAGGAGGAGAGAAAGAGGAGGAUGCAGUUUUUGGAGUGAAAGAAGAGGAGGGGGAGAUGACUGUCACAUUGGAGGAAGAGGAGGAGGUUGGAGAUCUGUUUAACACCAGAGAGAGACCGGACUAUUGUGGAUCCUCUGGGGAGUCUCAACAAAAUCAUGAUGCUGACGAGGCAGAGAAGAGUCUCUCCAGAUCAGAACUCCUCAAGAAACACCAGCAGAAACCCACAGGGAAGAAAUCUAUCUGCUGCUCUGACUGCGGGAAACAUUGCAAAUCUUCAUCAAAACUUAAAAUACACCAGCGAGUACACACAGGAGAGAAACCUUAUAGUUGUGAUCAGUGUGGCAAGAGUUUUACUAAGUCAAACAACCUGGUAUCACACCAGAGAACACACACAGGAGAGCAGUCAUAUAGCUGUAAGCAAUGUGGCAGGAGUUUUUCUCAGUCAAACAACCUGGAUAGACACCAGAGAACACACACACAGGAGAGAAGCCUUAUAGCUGUAAUCAGUGUGGGAAGAGUUUUACUCAGUCAAGCAACCUGGUAUCACACCAGAGAGCACACACAGGAGAGCAGUCAUAUAGCUGAGAGCAAUGUGACAGGAGAUACUCUCAUUCAAGUGGUCUGAUUAAACAUCAGAAAAUACAUGCAGGAGAUCCACGAAGUGUGGGAAUGAUCUCCAACACCAGACCUCUAUACAUCAAAUCACAUUUUAUUUGUCACAUACACUUGUUUAGCAGAUGUUAUUGUGGGUGUAGCAAAAUGCUUGUGUUUCUAGCUCCAACAGUCCAGUAAUAUCUAACAAUCACGCAAUCUAAAGGAAUGGAAUUAAGAAUAUAUAAAUAUUUGGAUGAGUGAUGUCAGAGCGGCAUAGACUAAGAUACAGUAGAAUAGGAUAGAAUACAGUAUAUGCAUAUGAGAUGAGUAAUACAUGGACUAAGAUACAGUAGAAUAGGAUAGAAUACAGUAUAUACAUAUGAGAUGAGUAAUGCCAGAUAUGUAAACAUUAUUAAAGUGACUAGUGUUGCAUUCCUUAAAGUGGCCAAUGAUUUCAAGUCUGUGUAUGUAGGCAGCAGCCUCUCUGUGUUAGUGAUGGCUAUUUAACAGUCUGAUGGCCUUGAGAUUGAAAAACAGAUUCUGUCUCUUGGUCUCAGCUUUGAUGCACCUGUCCUGACCUCGACUUCCGGAUGAUAGCGGGCUGAACAGGCAGUGGCCGGGUAAUAACAAAGAACAAAUGUGUGUGCCUGAGGGGAAAUUAACUUUUAUACAGCCAAAAGGGGUGAGAAAUUACACCAAUAUCAGGGGACAAUUUGCACUAAUGUAAAUUAACAUAGAUGAUGGAACGUAUUCCCUUUUGCUGACGUGAUGAACCACUAAGGGGACAUAAAUAUUUACCAUCUAAACCAUGUGUGACCUCUCACCUCUCUGGCUGUAGAAGUGGUCUUCCUAACCAGUCCCUCAACAGCUCUCUGACUGAGCUCCACCCUCACUGGGUCUUCAGAGAAGAGGAAGGCUGAGGAGGGAUGGAAGGAUGAAUGGAUCAGUCAGUCAAUAAAGUGUAGAGCUGCUGUCUAUGCUGUCUGACAAAAUCACUAUUUAAGUAGUUCAUUAAAGUAAAUAAGGCUUUAUGACUGCUGAAUACCAACGAUCAAUCACUUAGAUCAUGUAUUUUCAGGUAGAGAUACAUCCUUGGGACGUCCCUAGCCCAUUGAAGUUGACAUUUAAAAUGGUUAAGGUAGGGGUUAGGGUUUAGAGUAGGGAUGUCCCAAGGAUCCCGGAUAGCAUUGACCAUCGUGCAUUCUUCUGUCUCUUACAUAGCAGGUGUAAAAUAAACAGACAUGACAAGUAGACACGCAGUGCAUUAUGGUCAUUGUAGUUUAAAAAAUUGCAUCUAAUUAUGCCAAUCUGUAUGUGGGGUUAGAGAAGAACGUGAUUGUCAGCCCUAACAAUCCAUUCUAGCACCUCAUCAGGCUCUGAAAAUGGCUUCAUUGAUGACGUGUUCCUUCUAUUCCAGGUCACAGCAGAGGAACUUCAUCGAUUCCACUCCUUCAUCAAUACAAGCAGUGAACAUCUGAAAUUCACCCUCACCUUUGAUGUGCAUGAAACAAGUUAUCUGGGCAUUUUGAUUUAGAGGGAGAAGAGUGGCUUUAGCACAGACCUAUACAGGAAGCCGACGGACAUGAAUUCCCUGUUACACGGAGACAGCUUCCAACCCACACCCCUAAAAAAGAGCCUCCCCAUCAGCCAAUAAAGUUGCAUACACAGGAUUUGUAGUACACAGAGUGACUAUGACAAACAAGCCGACUGUCUGGAUGAGUGUUUCAGACAGCGGGGUUACCCAGAGGAAUGGCUGGAUGAGAGUUUCAGACAGCGGGGUUACCCAGAGGAAUGGCUGGAUGAGAGUUUCAGACAGCGGGGUUACCCAGAGGAAUGGCUGGAGGAGCGUUUCAGACAGCGGGGUUACCCAGAGGAAUGGCUGGAUGAGCGUUUCAGACAGCGGGGUUACCCAGAGGAAUGGCUGGAUGAGAGUUUCAGACAGCGGGGUUACCCAGAGGAAUGGCUGUAUGUGCGUUUCAGACAGCAGGGUUACCCAGAGGAAUGGCUUCUUGACGCAAGGAAUCGUUAUAUAAAUACAGUGAUGGAAAAAGUACCCAAUUGUCAUACUUGAGUAAAGAAAACAUUUAAAAUUUAAAUUUAUAAAAUUUAAUUUACAACAGAAACAGAAAUGUUUGUACUUAUAGGUAACCAAAUCGUGGCUACAACUAAGUUACUAAGUCUUUAGCCACACUGUUUUGUUACACUGGUGAGUAAAAACUCAUGCUUCCUACACUUUAACUUGUUGUCUGAAAAUAAAAUAUACAUUUUACUCAACUGCGUCGUCAGCAGAUGGACUAGAUGCCGCUUAGGCCGCCCAUUGUGACUCAGUCAAGAAUUCAGCAGAGCAAGUUUGUAUGAAGGUCUGGUUAUUUAAUGGGUACAUAGUUCAAUAGUAAUAUCCUCGAAAACGCUCUGGUGACAAACUUUGCUGCCCUGUUUCCAAUUGUCCACAUGGCUGGGAGAACCUAUUCAAGUAAGUAAGUAAAUAGACUGAAAAUGAUUUUUUUUUUUUUUUUUUAAACAAUGUAUUAUUAGCCAAUUACAGUGCAGGCUAACUCAAAUGAGCUGCCAACUUCACAUUCUGUAUAGAUAGCUAGCUAAGUGAAUUAAAUAUCAUCAGCUACCUAACUUCAUAUUAGCUAGCUAUCUUGAUGUAUUUAUCACUGUAAAAAACAAACUCCAAAUGAAUUUGUAGGUAGCUAGCUAACAGCCAUGGAGGCUGAAAGGAUAGCAGCCCCAACUGUCAGUGAGAGAGGAGGCUAUAGGGCAGGUACUUUUGUGUAGUUCCAGUCCCUAGAAGUGAGGAUGGAGAUAAUAGUAACAUAAUAUUCAGUGUGGUGUAAUUUGACUGUAAUGAAGUCUGUUUCUUAUGAGGUUUUCUGUCCUCAGAUAAAGAGCACUAUGAAAGCCAGUCAACAUAUGAAUAGGUCCCAAUGAAGAGCAGUGGUUCUCAGUCCUGGGGACUCAAAGAGAGGAACAUAGUUGUUUUUGCCUUCGCACUGAACAGCUGAUUCAAAUGAUCAAUUCAUCAUCAAGCUUGAAGUGGUAUUUAUGUAUUCAUUUGUGAUGCUAUCCUUGAUAUGAUCCUGGUAUUGUCACAUGCUACACAUGUACAUAUGUGUGCCCAUGCAUCUAUCAAUCCAAUGUUAUUAUGAUUUGGUAUCAGGGAUAUUAUACUUUAGUAAUCCACAAUGAGCUGGUGAUGUAACAGUCUAAUAAUGACAUUGUCUUCCAUAUUCCUACAGAUACCUUGUAACUUGAGAUUCCUUCAAAACGAUUGUCUACAGUUAACGUGUAGGGCACUGCAAGGUUGGGUGACCAGGGUCAUCUGGGACUGCCUCCUGGAGAAAUUCAGGUGUGUGAAGGCUACCUGUGUCCUGCGUAACUUCAUGAGGAUGGACACGAGGACCAGGAGGGGAUCUGCAGCUCGCCGCCGUGUCCCAGAGGAGGAGUCUGCUGCUCUGCAGGAUGUUUCAAAGAUGGGGUCCAACAACGCAGCAAGAGACAAUCCGUGUACAGGAGAUCUUCACCUCCUACUUCUUCAAAGAGGGUGCUGUUCCCUGGCAACACCAUAGACUACACUAUGCACAACCAAAGGCUCUUUUAAUAAGAGCCCAUUCACAUUGCAAUAAGAGUAUUCUUCCAUUUACUUAGCUAUGUCAACUGCAGUUAUUCAAUUCAAUUUCUCUCCCUUUGGUUUCUACUUCUCAGGUGAGGGUGCUGUUUAGGUAAGGGUGUGAUGUCUGUACAAAAACAAAACAGGCUGUUUUAAAUCCCCCAUAUUGAAAAAAUGUGGAACAAUUAGUCACCCUAUAACGCACACCUACACACUCAUGUAUCAAUCUGCUUGAUGGAUUGUGUUGUGCAGUAAGCAGGCUCAGGUGUAUAACUGUGGCUCCUUCCACCUUCAAAGAAUAGGCAAGAGGACCAACCAUUGAGAAUAGUAAGACACUUAUUUAUUUCUGUAACUACGCUAUAUUGUUUGUCCUCAUGGGUCCGUUCAUGUUUUUCAGCAUAAAGUACUCUGCAGCCACUUAGUGUGGUGUGGACACCAGGUUAUAUCAGCUGUGUCGGUGAACCCCUCCUGGAUCUGAACUGGCUACAUAGAGGGCACAUCAUGAUCAGAGAUAUGUUUUGAUGUGAGAGGAUGCCAACCGCUAGUCCCAUCAUCACCACCUCACCCUCUUUUAAGAUAACCUUUGGGCCGGCGUGAGACACUUAUGUAAUUGUGAUGAACUGAGAGAAUAUUUAUGUAGCACUGUGAUUCAUUAAUCAUGUGUUGCCUUCCCUGCUCCUACGUGCUUACCUCUUUCCCUUUCUGUCUUUUACACCUCUCCCGCCACCUCUUUCUUCCUCUGUUUUUAUAAUGCACAACAGAUAUGCAUUGAAGUACAGAUUGAAACUUGUAUUUAUCACACUUGAAUAAUGAGCUUUUCAAUAAAGCGUUUCACAUUCUCUAUUGGUUGAAAUUAAGUGUAAUUUGAUGAAAUACUACACCUAUCCUGUGUUUAUCAGAUCAAUGCAGAUGAAGGGCAUUAGAUAUUGAGAUGAACCGGUGUUAGAGUAUUUACAUGAUGCAUAGGGAGUGUAGUGUUCUGUUUUUUAACAUUAUAUUUCUGUAUAUAUGAAUUAACUAGUUAAAUCCUGUUUCUAGUCUAUUAGUUACAAUGUGUAACCAUUGAUGUCUCAGGACCAAGAUUGGUAAACACUGUUGAAGUGUAUAAUUCUAAUACAUACAUGCAGACACAGUCAUUCAAAGACUGGAAUUUGAUACUCCUGGUAUUGGAUAUGACUGAAAAAUAAUCUCAAAGACAUUCAUACCUAAACUGCACCUUUAUUUGCCAAGGUAGAGUACAUGAUCAGUGAAUAUAUUAAAUGUACAGGCUACAA